GGACUACUCGGGUAUCUAAUCCCGUUUGCUCCCCUAGCUUUCGCGCCUCAGCGUCAGAAGAGGUCCAGCACGUCGCUUUCGCCACCGGCGUUCCUUCCGAUAUCUACGCAUUUCACCGCUCCACCGGAAGUUCCACAUGCCCCUACCUCCCUCGAGAUCAUCAGUAUCGGAGGCACUUUUCCAGUUAAGCUGAAAGAUUUCACCCCCGACUUGAUAACCCGCCUACGCGCCCUUUAAGCCCAGUGAAUCCGAACAACGUUCGCACGGUUCGUCUUACCGCGGCUGCUGGCAC
rnacentral:rRNA from 1 species